GUGAACUGAAACAUCUCAGUAGCUCGAGGAAAAGACAUCAACCGAGAUUCCGAAAGUAGUGGCGAGCGAAAUCGGAAGAGCCUUUACGUUUUAGCAUUCAGGAUAAUCGAACGGGAUGGAAAGCCCGGCCGUAGCAGGUGAUAGCCCUGUAGAUGAAAUCUUGAGUGUGGAACUAAGCGUAAGAAAAGUAGGGCGGGACACGUGAAAUCCUGUCUGAA
rnacentral:rRNA from 1 species